rnacentral:lncRNA from 1 species
AUCCGUGUCAUGGCAUGUGGCAGUAUUUCUUUCGCCCGGGCACUUUGGGAGGCUAAGAUGGAGAGGCUGAGAGUUGAAGACCAGCCUGGGUAACAUUGCAAGACCCCCAUCUCUACAAGAAAAUUAAAAAGGCUUGAGCCCAGGAGAUUGAGCCUGCAGUGAGCCAUGAUCAUGCCCCUGCACUCCAGCCUGGGGAAAGAAUGAUACCCUGUCUCAAAGAAAAAAAAAAGAAUUUCCUUCCUUUUAAAAAGAUGGAAUUAUAUUCUAUUGUAUGUAUAUACCACAUUUUGUUUAUCUGCAGAUGGGCCCUUGGAUUGUUUCUACCUUUUGUAUCAGUGUGUGUGUGUGUGUGUGUGUGUGUGUGUGUGUGUGUGUGUGUGUGUGUAUUUCUAGAAACUUGUUAUUCUCCUGAGUGUUAAACUGUUUUAAAUGUUUGGUUUUUCAUUUCUAGAACAUUUUCCUAUCCUAAAAUUUACCUAUCUGGCUAUCUAUCAUCUAUCACUUUUCCUAAGGAUCUUUAGUUGUUUACUUUUUAAUGAAGUAUAAUAUACGUUAUGAUAGUGUAUUUUAUGUAUCCUCAUAUCCUUUCACUGUGGAUUUAAUUUUUAGAAAUAACAAAAAGUCACAUAGGGCAAAUUCAUUAAGCUGAGUGGGUGAUUAAGUUAACAAUAGUAAUGACCAUGUAUUAAGUGCCUACUAUGUGCCAGGCACUGUGCUAGCAUUUCACACCCAUUAUAUCAUUCAGUCUUCACACCCCUGUUUGGUGGUUAUUAAUGAUUACUAAUAUUCAUUUUAUAGAUGAAUAAACUGAUACUCAAGGCCUUAAUUGCCUUUCCUAGGGGUGCACAACUAGAAAAAAGGCAGAGCCAGAUCUGCACCCAAGUCCUUCUGACCCCAGAGCUCAUGCUUGUAUCAUCGCACCAGUGUUACUCAAGCUUUCCUGGUGAUUACAGUCACAUGUACUUGACAAAACCACAAACUGUUGGGCCUGUCCCAGUGAUACUGAAUCGAAAUUUACUGAGGAGGGACCUGGGAGAUUACACUGCUUGAACAGCAUGGUACCGGGGAACCAGAGAUCAACUUCAACCCUUCUGUUAGCUCUUAGUGGGCUGGUCAGCUGGAUGUAGAAGCUAAAUUGACAGCAGGCAGAUUAACAAGAGAAAAAUGUAUAAAUUUUACUAGUUUUACAUGUACUUGGGGAUCUUCACAAGAAAGUGAAGUCUGAACAAGAGGCCAAAGUAAGAUAUUCUUAUACUUUUUAGACAAAGAAUGAUAAAUUUGAGAAGAAACAACAGGAGAAAGAAAAUCUGGCUAGGACAGUAAAAUUUUCUAGGGGAGUCACAGGAGAUAUAUGAGGGGGUGUAAAGCAAGUGGAAGAUAAAGGUUAUUUUGUUCGUAAGUUUGUUUAUUCGGGUUCCUUGCAGCCUCCAAGUCUCUGGUGAUAAGGGCUAUUUUCUCAUCCUGGUAUGGAUAAAUCUCAGGGCCUUCGAAGAGUAUCCGUCCCAGAGGAUUCUUUAUCCCUUGCUCCAUACAGGAAGAUAUAGAUCAGCUCUUCCUUUCUGAAACUAGAAUUUCUCCAUUGUUUUCCAUUAGAAAUAAUCAACAUACAAAUUUUGGGAUGGCACAUCCUUCAGUCCUCCAAUGGUAUCUACCAUAUUUUUUUCAAACAUAUAACAUACUUUAAGGUAAUGAGAUUAGGUCGUGCAGCUCACAAAUAGCUCUGAAGGCAGUUCCUAUAGCAGAGACUCAAUUGUUAUGAGCAUUAGCUAUUGGCAUGACAGAAUAGGCUUCAAAGUGACUUCUUUGAAGGACAAGAUUUAUUUGAAUGUUCUGCUUUAGAAUCAUUAAAAUGAGCACCCUCACUGCCAUGUUGGCUCUACGCACAGUAAGAUUAGAGAGACAGCGUUUUACAGUGAAAAGAGUAAGUCAACCCUGGUUUGGGAUCUGGAUAAAUUGCUUAACUUCUCAGAGCCUUAGUUUCUUCAUCUGUAAAAUGGAUUACUACCCAAUUUGAAGGACUAUUGUAUACAUUAGAAAUAACUAUAUAUGCCUUGUCAUGUAGUAGAUGCUUAUAGCAGUUCUUAUAAUAAUAAAGCGAAGUCCCCGUGGUGUAUUGUAAAUGUGAACCACACUCCUCAGCAGUGAUCCUUGUGUGCUAAGCUAGUGGACCAGAGUUUCCAGCUGAAGUAGAUCUGGAACCGAGUCUUGAAAAAUGUGUGUAGAGAAGCUUCUGUACUUUUCUUAUGUGGAUGGCAGUGGCGAGGGGGCGGUGGCGGGUGCAGCUGCAAUACUUAAAAAGGAAUUCUAUUGUGGCAAUAAAUGAAUAUGGCAAGAAAUGAGCCUGGCAAGAAAUGAAUGACAAUGGCCCCUAGGUGGUGCUGAAUCAUCAUGGAAGUGGAGGCUGGACACUUGGCAUUUGCGGAGGUGACUUCCUUCUGGUUUGAAUUUCAAAUAAGAGCAGGACAGCUCCUUGGGAUGUCUGGGAAAAAAGACCAGGCAGAAAAGAGUCUUUUCACUAGGAGCGGGUGCAAAAUACUCUUGCCUGUGAGGCCUCUUCAGGUCUUCGGUUUGCUUUAGUUGGAAACAGGAAGCAGGGUCAGACCAACUUGUAUUCAUUUGCUGAGAGCUGUUGGAGCUGUGACUGAUUCUGACAGAUCAAAUACCAUUUAUAACACUCCUGUGGGGGACACUUUAACCGGGGAUGUUAGUGCUAGCCCCUCCAGAGACUAAGUAUGUUUGCGGGAUGUGAGGACCCCUGGAAUAUACAAAUAUGCAUGCUAAUGAAUUUUAACAAAAAUAACCCAUUAUUGUUUUCUGUGCAACACUGUGCAUUUCUCAGCUACACCUGUCCUUUCCAACCUCAAUUGCUGGGCAACCUAUUUUUCUUUCGGCAUCAGAAGCGAUAGCAUCUGGGAAGUGAAUCUGAUGAAUUCUGCCUGGCAACCAACAUCUUUCCAACUGCCAGAUCCUGGGGUCUGGCUGAUUUCACUUAACAUAAUGUCCUUCAGGUUCAUCCACAUUGUGCCAAAUGUUAAUCCUCUGUGGCCAUGUCGGGUCUGUUGGUGGAGAUGCCAAACACGGAAGACAGUGAAGUGGUGGCUCAGCGUUCUCCAAAGGAAUGAGCAAGCAGAUGAGGCAAAGCACACUCUGAAGAGUGACAACUAUAGCUUCCAUAAGAAAGUUUUGGAGGCUCCUAAAAAUGACAGAUAAAUGAACUAACCUAAUCAGCAAAAUUAAACUAUAGGAAAGAGUAUGGACCUUGAAAAGACAGCUUAGCCAGCUUGACGACUAAAGCAACACCUUUCCAAGCAACAUUGGAAAUUUGACCUCCUCAUCAGAAAAAUGUGUAUAGACAUCUCUGGAGUCAGGCUACCCCAUAUGAAGCUUGGAUUUUGGCUUCACUGUGGCUGCAGGUAUUUGAGGAUGCAAUUAGCUGAACUAAUCUCACUCAAAUUCCUAAGUGCGACUUCUUACGUGGUUUUCAUCUAGCCGUUCUAUCUAUCCCAACAAGAAUCUGUUGCUAGACCUCAAAAACACUGAGUGCUGUCAGGAAAAAAUGUACAAGGCACCACAAAGAUUAUGGGGCAUCUACUAUGGAAAACCUAGACAUUGUCUAGAGCAUUGUUUGUGGUUAUCUCUGUCUUUCAUUGCCUUUGAUCUAUUUUUCAACUCUCCACAUUGUAGAAAAUGACUGAUAAUUCAAAUGAUUCUUUUCCAUAAAAAUGGAAGUGAACAAUGUUCGGUGGGAUGCAAUGGACUAAUUUUGUAGGUAUUUAUAAAUUUAUUUUAACAUUUUGUAUUACCUAUGUAUAUAUGUGAUUCUCUGAAUUCUCUUUUGAACUGAUCAUAACAUCUUACUGGAUCUCAUUAAUUAA